UACGUAGGGGGCAAGCGUUGUCCGGAUUCACUGGGCGUAAAGGGUGCGUAGGCGGGAAGGUAAGUCCGCGGUGAAAUCUCACGGCUCAACCGUGAAACUGCCGUUGAUACUGCUUUUCUUGAGUUCGGGAGAGGUUGAUGGAAUUCCAGGUGUAGCGGUGAAAUGCGUAGAUAUCUGGAAGAACACCAGUGGCGAAGGCGGUCAACUGGCCCGUAACUGACGCUGAGGCACGAAAGCGUGGGUAGCGAACAGG
rnacentral:rRNA from 1 species